CCUUCGAUAGCUCAGUUGGUAGAGCAGUAGACUGUAGUUGUUUAUUGUUUAUGUAAAAAAUAUCCAUAGGUCGCUGAUUCAAAUCCGGCUCGAAGGA
rnacentral:tRNA from 1 species